GCUCCAGUGGCGCAAUCAGUUAGCACGUGGUACUUAUACAACAGUGCAAGCUCGAGCAAUGCUGACGUGAGUUCGAGCCUCACCUGGGGCA
rnacentral:tRNA from 1 species